UACCUGGUUGAUCCUGCCAGUAGUCAUAUGCUUGUCUCAAAGAUUAAGCCAGGCAUGUCUAAGUACAUGCCAAAACAAGGCGAAACCGCGAAUGGCUCAUUAAAUCAGUUAUGGUUCCUUAGAUUGUUUCUCCCUACUUGGAUAACUGGUCGGUGCUGACGCAAUGUGAUUCCUGCCCAGUGCUGUGAAUGUCAACGUGAAGAGAUUCAUCAAAGCGCGGGUAAACGGCGGGACUAACUAUGACUCCCUUGUUUCUUUAACUAUGACUCUCUUUUGAGACACAAAGUCGGUUGGGUUGUAUCCCGCCGUCAAGUGCCAACUCCACGUCCCCGUCGUGUGUCCUGGGGGCGCAGGUCUCAUUAUUCCUGCGUCUGCUAACGGAGCUCUGGCUAUCAUUGGGAAAUGGGGUUGCCGACCCCCUUCCCUGUAAUUACAUGGUGUGAAAAGCAAAAAGAAUAAAGAUGAACGGGGCAGUCAAGAGCUUGUCCCUCAAAGUACAGACGUGCGCACUGGUGGCCCUGAUGCGCUUAUUGGUGGUGCUGUGGACACCCAAGGUCCUCGUGAGGGGAAAACCUGUUCCUGUGGUCGGACUUUUGGCACCAGAGGAGGACUAAAGAUCCACGCAACAAAAGCUGGACACCAACUGCCUGAACUGGUGUUACAGGAGGCAGAAGUGGUCGAGGGAACACUUCCAGGACCCAAAGACCCAACCUCGGCCGUAGAGGAAAAAACGGUUGCGUCUGUCUCCUUGCGUGACGAGGGUGAUGUCUCUACCUUCCACAAAGUGAGCGAGGUACUGACGAUGGUCCCAGUGACCUCAAGAGACGAUGCGGAUAUGGCCAUUGGCUGUGUCGAGAAGAAAAGAUGACUGAUGAGAUGGAGCUGUGACCCCCCGCAAUGUGGUGAGGAAAUGAUGAUGGUCCCAGAGAC
rnacentral:ncRNA from 1 species